rfam:Streptomyces sp. NRRL S-1521 P341contig49.2, whole genome shotgun sequence.
UGGCCUAUGGUGUAAUUGGCAGCACGACGGUUUCUGGUUCCGUUAGUCUAGGUUCGAGUCCUGGUAGGCCAG